rnacentral:sRNA from 1 species
UGGGCAACUGCCACUACCAGUAAAUGAAUAAAAACACAUAACCAAAACUCGUUCACUAAAAAAAUUGCAUUCAGCUGUUGACGGUACACUACCAGGGCUGAUGGUGGCAGGGUUGAGAACCCCCUGGAUAAAUAUGCUACGACUGAGAGACUCGGAACCCCACCAUAGCGCCGCAUUAGGCGGUCACAUAACAACAUGGCGAAACAAUUAAAGGUGGACUCAUUUGUACAACAACCGCAAAUCAUAUAGUGCAAUCCGUCAUCUUAUCAUCAAGCGGAUCGAUGUUUCGCCAACACACACAAAGAAAUUUGUGUCAAACAAAAAUCUGACAUCUUAAUACCGUCAAACCUAGUCGGCUGUUAACAACUGUUCGCGUAAGACCUCCCUAUUAAAUCCGCCUUGAAGUAAUACUAGGCUUAAAGCAGAGAAUUCUGUUUAGUUUUCGGAAUUGUUGCGAAAAUUGUCAAUAAAAUUUAAUAUUUUUUAAACUUAA